UGACGUCAUUAGGCAAUCAUAUGAACAUGUUAAAGGAUCAAAAGAGUCAUUUCCAAUACUGGAGGUUCAUUUUCUGAAAUAUUCGACUCGUGAAAUUUAUCGCAACUACAUUGACUGUGUGAGGUGGUUCGGUCGACUAGCGUUUUCUAAAAGUUGUGAGAAUAGUUUGAUACUUUGGAGACCUCCCAGACCUGACGAUAAGCCACAACAGAAAUCCUUUCAAGUUUUACAAAAGUUUGAGGUUCUGAACUGUGAGAUAUGGUAUAUUCGCUUUGCAAUGGACA